AACGCACCUUGCGCCCUUUGGCCAUUCCGAAGGGCAUGCCUGUUUGAGUAUCAUGAACACCUCAACUCUCCAUGGUUUUCCGUGAUGAGCUUGGACUUUGGGGGCUUUGCUGGCCUACAGUCAGCUCCUCUAAAAUGAAUCAGCUUGCCAGUGUUUGGUGGGCAUCACAGGUGUGAUAACUAUCUACGCUUGUGGUUUUCCACCAGGUAGCCUUCAGCAGUGGAGGUUCACUGGAGCUCACAGAUGUCUCUCCUCAGUGAGGACAGCCCUUUGAAUGUUUGAUCUCAAAUCAGGUAGGACUACCCGCUGAACUUAA
rnacentral:misc_RNA from 1 species